ensembl:lncRNA
CGAUUACUGAAGGGGAAGCUCGAGAAGAGGUCUGGUCACCUAUUAAUUACUGAUUCUCGUUUCUUGUUCUCUGAUCUCUGUAGAGAACCAACCAGUCAGGCAACAUAUUGUGUGUCCAGACUUGAAAGGUGUGCUUGGGCAGAGAUGAGUAGAGCCUGGGGCUCCUGGUUAAAAGUCAGAGACAGUGUCGCUCUGCUAAGUGACAAGGAGAGGACUUCAUGCCAAGGAGGGCUUCCUGCAGAGAGCUGCGCACACAGUCCCAACGCACUGCUGGCCGGGCCACAGCUGUUCAUACCUGUUUUGCAGUGAACGGUAGUUACUUCCUUGAAAGUGGAAACAGCUUUUAGAGCUCCUUUGUUUCUCACGUUCUAGAGCAAGGGCAAGAUUGGAGAGAGUGACUUUGUGGGAGGCUGAAAUAAGUGAAAUGAAGAAAAGCCUUGGGAAGCAUUACGGAGUUCCUCCGGACUGCAUUUACACUGAGCACUCGGUUGUGGACAGUCAGACUUUAAUGAAGAUCUUACGCAGACUGUGGGAGACGAGAAGAGGCUAGAAACUGUGUGGUCUGUUACAGCGGGGCAGCAGGUACCAUCAUGGGUUGAUGGAGAUUAGGCAGGGACAAAAGGUGGAGACGCUCUUCAGGCUGAAGCACAUCAAGGUUGGUGAACUUUGAGGAUAACUUUCCUAGAAGCACUGUCUUCACCCCUUGGACUGAAUGUCCCCUGAUAGCUUAUAGGGAAAUGUGCCCUGACAUCACCUCUCUCUCCCCCAGGUCCCUCCACUUACCAGGAUGCUCUGCCAACACUCAGCAUUUUUAUUUUGUUUUCUUAAUACAUUUUUACAUAGUUCAUAUACAAAGCAUGUGCAAUUUGGGAUCCUGUCUGCUUUACCUUUGAGCUUCUCAGGUGGCUCAGCAGUAAAGAAUCUGCCCGCCAAUGCAACAGGCUUGGGUUCGAUCCUUGGGUCGGGAAGAUCCCCUGGAGAAGGAAAUGGCAACACACUCCAGUAUUCUUGUGUGGGAAAUCCCAUGGAUAGAGGAGCCUGGCGGGCUGCAAAGAGUUGGAUACAACUGAGCAACUGAGCACGCAAAUGUAAUCAAGUGAAUUAUUAAUGAACAUUACAUAAUCAACAUCUUUUAAGUGCAUCGUAACACACACACACACAUAUACUCUACUUAGACAUUUUCUUGACAUUUUCUGGUUUAUACAUUUAUAUCAGCAUUUCUCAUUAUUGAAAUGACUGUUUCAGAGGGCAAAAGUAUUAUUAAGGCUAUAGAAUUAUAUUGCUAUUUUUCCCUCCAGGAUGGGUCUAUUUGUUGUGACUGAUGUUGAGUAUUUUGGUUAAAAAGUAGAGCUGUGAGUGUAGGUCAGAGAGUUUCCUAUUUGCCACCCACCUCACCCCCCAGCUCCCCACAUUACUCACAUCUUACAUCAUUGUGGUGCCUUUGUUACAGCUUUCAUUUUCCUACAGUGUGGUCAAAAUUACAUAAAAGAAUGACUCUAGAAAAUGCUUAGAUUAAAAUUAUUAAUAUCUGAAUAACAGUUUUAAAAGAGCACACACACAAAAAAGAGAGGCUUCCUGUUGAAGAUGGCAGAGCAGAAGGACCUGCGCUUAUUUCUUCCUGCGAGAGCACCAGAAUCAGCCAGCUGUUGAACAGCCAUCAGCGGGAGGACGCUGGAACCCACAAAAGAAAAAGAGGGAAAAUGUGUCCCAAUAGUGUAUAUAUCAGAAGUGGGAGUUGUUGGAGGUAAUGCCCAAAGGAAGGGUAAAAUUACUGGUCAGUUUUAGAAUUUUACUACUAUGGAUUGCGUACAUUUGUCAGAGCCCACUGAAAGAACAGAAUUUGAGAGUGUAACUUCCAAACCCAAGAGGAAAAGCAGCUGGCAGCACAAACAGCUGAAUCAAUGAAAAGGAAUCAGGAAAGCAGGCAAAGUGGUUCAAAACACUGGACAAAUAAAAGGCACAGUAUUAACUGAUGAAAACAGCUACGUCAACUCUUGCUUUGGGAGUUAAUAUGCCAUGCCAUGUGAGUCAGUUGUUUU